UCUACGGGUGGCAGCAGUGGGGAAUAUUGCACAAUGGGGGAAACCCUGAUGCAGCAACGCCGCGUGAAGGAAGACGGUUUUCUGAUUGGAAACUUCUGUUCUUAGUGAAGAAUAAUGCCGGUCGCUAAGGAGCCCGCCACGGCUAACUACGUGCCAGCAGCCUCGGUAAUACGGAGGUGGCAAGCGUUGUCCGGAAUUACUGGGGGUAAAGGGAGCGCAGGGGGGAAGCCAAGUCAGCUGUGAAAACUACGGGCUUAACUUGUAGACUGCAGUUGAAACUGGUGUUCUUGAGUGAAGUAGAGGUUGGCGGAAUUCCGGGUGUAGCGGUGAAAUGCGUAGAUAUUCGGAGGAACACCGGUGGCGAAGGCGGCCAACUGGGCUUUAACUGACGCUGAGGCUCGAAAGUGUGGGGAGCAAACAGGAUUAGAUACCCUGGUAGUC
rnacentral:rRNA from 1 species